CCUACGGGAGGCAGCAGUGGGGAAUAUUGCACAAUGGGCGAAAGCCUGAUGCAGCAACGCCGCGUGAGUGAUGAAGGCCUUCGGGUCGGAAAACCUUGUCCUCAAGGAAGCUAAUGACGGUACUUGAGGAGGAAGCCCCGGCCAACUACGUACCAGCUGCCGCAGUAAUACGUAGGGGGCCAGCGUUAUCCGGAUUUACUGGGCGUAAAGGGUGCGUAGGCGGUCUUUCAAGUCAGGAGUGAAAGGGUCAGGCUCAACCGUAGUAAGCUGUUGAAACUGGGUGACUUGAGUGGACGAGAGGAGAGUGGAAUGCGUGGUGUAGCGGUGAAAUGCGUAGAUAUCAGGAAGAACACCAGUUGCGAAGGCAGCACUCUGGCCUGUAACUGACGCUGAGGCACGAAAGCGUGGGGAGCGAACAGGAUUAGAUACCCGGGUAGUC
rnacentral:rRNA from 1 species